AACAUCGCGCACCUGCGGGAACCUGCGGAGGGAUCAUUAGCUUAUGAGUGUGUGUGCGUUGGCGGUGCGCGUGUGGGGGAUGAAAGGGGGGUGGGUUGGCUGGUAUAUGUGGCAUAUGUCCACGUAUGCGGGCUCCCGCUCCCUCCUCCGCACGUCGCCGCCGCGCCACACAUCAUCGCCACCAUGUGAACGAGGAAUCUAUUAUUAUGUAUGUGUUCGGAAGUGUGCGUGCCGCGUGUG
rnacentral:misc_RNA from 1 species